GGAGUUGUAGUUCAGAGGUAGAGUGCUUGCCUAGCACGUAUGAGGCACUGGGUUCAAUUCUCAGCACCG
rnacentral:tRNA from 1 species